rnacentral:misc_RNA from 1 species
UCCUACUGAAGACCUUAAAACCCUUAUAACUCGUUCUCCUUUGCCCACUCUUUUCACUUACAGACCAAUAUGGGAGGGAGGUCAGUAUGAAGGUGACGAACCCAGUAGAUUGGAUGCUCUUAGAUUAGCCAUGGAGUUGGGAGCUGAUUAUGUUGAUGUUGAGCUUCAGGUUGCUCGUCAGUUUAAUGACUCCACACAUGAAAAAAAACCUGCGAAGUGCAAAGUCAUUGUUUCUUCUCACAACUAUCACAACACCCCAUCUGUUGAGGAGCUUGGCAACCUUGUGGCAAAAAUACAAGCUGCUGGAGCUGACAUAGUGAAGAUUGCAACAACUGCCUUGGAUAUUACUGAUGUUGCUCGCAUUUUCCAAAUAACUGUCCAUUCUCAAGUUCCGAUAAUUGGAAUUGUUAUGGGUGAGAGGGGUUUGAUUUCACGGAUACUUUGUGCAAAGUUUGGUGGGUAUCUCACUUUUGGCACUCUAGAGUCAGGAAUAGUUUCUGCUCCUGGUCAACCAAUGAUCAAGGAUUUACUGGAUCUAUACAAUUUUAGAUCAAUUGGACCUGAUACAAAAGUAUAUGGCAUUAUUGGAAAGCCUGUCAGCCACAGCAAAUCACCUAUUUUAUACAAUGAAGC